ensembl:snRNA U6 U6 spliceosomal RNA
GUGCUCACUUCAGCAGCACAUAUACUAAAAUUGGGAUGGUACAGAGAAGAUUAGCAUGCCCUCUACACAAGGAUGACACACAAACUCGUGAAGCAUUAAAAAAAUGU